GAAUUUUGUUCUAUGGUAAACGCUAGAGGAGACCGGUAGUACUCUACUUGAUAUCCCAGGGGCACGGGGCAUGCACUUUUAGACGCACCACAUCCAUGUAGACGUUCCUCUUUCUCUGCUAUGGCGCCGCAUCGGAGAACGGUGUAAAAAGCCCACUGAAUGAUUCGCCGAUCCCUCGAGAAGAGCCGAUACAUCGCAUCGGUUGAGUUUCGAGUAUAUAUCAUACAUACAUAAUAUAUAUAUAUAUAUAUUAUGUUACAUAUACCUGAUCAAUGGAGAAAUACAUAGAAGAGUUCGUGACAUAAUCUUUUUCAUCUACUCUUUCCAUCAUUCCUUUCUAACCGUUUUGUUGCAUAAUUUUUCUGGAAUGUUAAAUUUCUGAAAGCACAAGUUGAAAAACGAAUUAAUUCCGGAUAAAUAUAUGUACUCUCAGAAACGAAUACAAUAAAUGAUGCUGAUGAGAAGUUAUCGAUUAUCGUAUCCAACUUAUGAUUCGUUAGCUUCACGUAUGCUGCCUUGAGAAAGAAUAGAGAGAGUAAUGAAUAUAUAUGUGUGAGUAGAAAGGGGCAAAUAGGCAAAUAGAAAGGGAUUGUGCAUGAGCUACCACAUGGAUGUAAUGAACCUAACAAAUUGGUAAUUGAUGGGGCAUAAUAAAG